rnacentral:rRNA from 1 species
CUGGCUCAGGACGAACGCUGGCGGCGUGCUUAACACAUGCAAGUCGAGCGGAGAAUAUAGCAAUAUAUUCUAGCGGCGGACGGGUGAGUAACGCGUGGGCAAUCUGCCUCAUACAGGGGGAUAACACUGGGAAACUAGUGCUAAUACCGCAUAAAAUAGUGAAGUGGCAUCACUUUACUAUCAAAGGAGCAAUCCGGUGUGAGAUGAGCCCGCGUCCGAUUAGCUAGUUGGAGGGGUAACGGCCCACCAAGGCGACGAUCGGUAGCCGAACUGAGAGGUUGAUCGGCCACAUUGGGACUGAGACACGGCCCAGACUCCUACGGGAGGCAGCAGUGGGGAAUAUUGCGCAAAUGGGGGAAACCCUGACGCAGCAACGCCGCGUGAAGGAUGAAGGUUUUCGGAUUGUAAACUUCUUUGAUUGGGGACGAUAAUGACGGUACCCAAAAAACAAGCCACGGCUAACUACGUGCCAGCCGCUGC